rnacentral:tRNA from 1 species
CCCAUCGGUGGCCGCGUUCCGCGACCUCGUGCUGUCGCGGCGGAGGCACCCUCGCUCAGGGCCGUGCGGGGGUUCCGCUUCCCCCCGGCGGGU